GCUCGCUUAUCUCUGUUGGUGAGAGUGUGGUGCUAAUAACGCCUAAGUCACAGGUUCAACCCCAGUAGUGAGCA